GCAUGCUGCCUGCCGUCCUGCCCAUGUGGAAACAGCCUGAGUGCGUCUCUGGGCCUGGCAUCCUGGGUUGCUAGGCAACCCAGUGUGUCUGGGUGUGUCCCUUCAGCACUGGCUCUCCUGCUGACCUGUGGGUGCGGUCUGCAUGCUGGCUUCUGGGCUGUGACUGUCCCCUCGUGACCAGGCGUUCAUGGGAGAGUUGGCCACGUGAGCAACUGUGAUGGAAACCAAUUAAUUUUGCAGGCUCCUAAAUACUAACAUAAGAGGAUGGAGAAAAAGGUUUUCCCCAGUCACUGUCAAGUUUGAUCUGGAGGGGAGCAACGCUGGCGGUGCAUCCUUCAGGUGGGAGGGGACCAGCUGACCCCGGACCAGUUGGUGGUGGUCAGGAUGGAUCUGUGCUGUUUGCUUCCACCUGGUCACUGCAUCCGAGGACACUAUAAUUCUGCAACUGAGUUUCUAUCGCACAAAGCUAACUUAUACUAGAACCUCUUCCUUCGUCAGCCUCCUCAACGUGCUUCCAGCUGAAAGAAGGGCCCCACCAGGAAGGGUCACUGCCCCAAGCAGCAGGUCGGCUGGCCAUAGAGAGCAAGUGGGCUUGGGGACUUACUUUGGGGACUUCAACAUGGUCCGCAGCGCAGCCCUGAGCUCUGUGGGCCUGAGGGGAUCCCUUUUGGCAGGACACACACUAAACAAACCCAUCAAGCACAGAUGUAAAAACUUGAAUGCUAUCUUUUUGUUUCACAGAGAAGCCUGCCUGACCGACAAGAUACUCUGAUUGGGCAGGUCUCGACAGUCUCUGUCUAUCCCCUGACCUGGCACAUAUUACCAAAUGUGGACGGAAAAGGGGCCCCAGGUUAAACCUGACAAGCUCAGAUUGAAAAUAACCACAUAAGAUGGCGUGAGCAUAAAAAACUUUCAUAACCAAGUGGGCCAUGGUGGGAAGUCACAUCUUGAGCUUCCUUCAUAAAUUUGGUCUGUGCCUUUCCAGUGGGCCUGUGUUUUUCUGCACCUAAGAUAACAUCUUAGGAAUGUCAGUAAUCCUUUUUCUGG